GCAAGAAGUCAUCAUCUAUGAAGAGGAGGAUCUUCAACAGACCCAAAUUUGCUGGACUUCCCAGUCUUGGGCUUCCCAGCCUUCAGAACUGUUCUCUCAGAAAUCAUCACUGAUCUAAAAAGGGGAUGACUGAAACAUAUACCUAUUUGAAGAUUCCUGGAACCCAGUUAGACCAGAAGAAGCUCAAAUGAAAAUAGAAAAUAACAGAAGAAAAACCUGAGAAAUUCAUAAAAAGACUCUGCUGAAUGCUCUGGGAACAGAAUGCCUUAUUGGAACCUGAAUUACACCAUGUUGGUGAGAUUCCAACUACUGUCAGCACGUGGACUCAUUUACAUGAUAGAAAGAAGCAGCAAGUCACCAACAAUUAGUAGAAGAUACCCAUAGGUUAAAAGAAAAGUGGAUGUAAUAUAGUCAAUUUAUCAUACAUUUGGGGAAUUUCAAGCUUCUGGUUUUAUUUAAUGAAUAAAGAAGAAUGUUCAAGAAGACA
rnacentral:lncRNA from 13 species